GGUGAGUAAUGCUUGGGAACUUGCCUUUGCGAGGGGGAUAACAGUUGGAAACGACUGCUAAUACCGCAUAAUGUCUACGGACCAAACGGGGCUUCGGCUCCGGCGCAAAGAGAGGCCCAAGUGAGAUUAGCUAGUUGGUAAGGUAACGGCUUACCAAGGCGACGAUCUCUAGCUGUUCUGAGAGGAAGAUCAGCCACACUGGGACUGAGACACGGCCCAGACUCCUACGGGAGGCAGCAGUGGGGAAUAUUGCACAAUGGGGGAAACCCUGAUGCAGCCAUGCCGCGUGUGUGAAGAAGGCCUUCGGGUUGUAAAGCACUCUCAGUUGUGAGGAAAAGUUAGUAGUUAAUACCUGCUAGCCGUGACGUUAACAACAGAAGAAGCACCGGCUAACUCCGUGCCAGCAGCCGCGGUAAUACGGAGGGUGCGAGCGUUAAUCGGAAUUACUGGGCGUAAAGCGCACGCAGGCGGUUUGUUAAGCUAGAUGUGAAAGCCCCGGGCUCAACCUGGGAUGGUCAUUUAGAACUGGCAGACUAGAGUCUUGGAGAGG
rnacentral:rRNA from 1 species